UUCGAGGCGGACCAGAAGCAGAGCUCCACGUCCGCGUUUGCGACCCGGGAGGCCUCUCUCCGGGCGCGGGAGGCGGCGAUGCGGGGCGGCCCGGGCGGGGAGCGCGCGGGGCGCGGGGCCGGGUUGGGAGCCCGGCGCUGUCCGAGGUGCUGGACGCCGGCGGCGCGCGCUCCGGCCGCCGCGGUCCCCGGGCAUCUUCCCGCAGGCCGAGCGCGGAGUCAGGGACCACCCGCGCGCCUCCUACUCCUGCCUCGGCUAAACGCGUGGACUUACUUCUUGGGAGCUCAAGAUCCCUCCCACCCGGUGGACCAGGGCCGACCCCUGCGGUGCGCUUACCUGGUGAGGACGCUCACCAAAGGAGGCCACCUGAGUGCGGGCCUCCGGUAGGGGCAUGGCUCCAAAAGCAAGAUCCCGGGGGUGCCUGGCACUCCCGCCCUCCGCUUCGGGCUGGUUACCAAGGGGCACUUCCAGGCUGAACCGCGCCCGGGCGCUGGGAUGAGCCCGGGCCUCGCCGGUCCAGCUGAGUGACUUGCCCAGAACUUCGCCAAGGUUCCUAAAUAAGACCUCUGCGUCAGUGGCUUCCGAGCACCCCCUUGCUCCUCCAAGUUCAAGUGAGAACAAGGGAGUUCUUCUUUAAGAGAAGGAAGCGUGGAAGAUGAGAACUGCGCCCAGUUCUUCUGCCCUGCGGGUCUCCUGUGCUCCGUCCCGGCCCCCGCCGCCGGCUGGCAAGCGCCGUUGCCCGCCCGCGCCCGGAGCGCGUCUCCAGCCGCGACGCCGGCGGGCUGUGUGGGUGACUCCCGCUCGCUGGGUACCGGCAAAGCCCAAGGCAUCAGUCCGCCAAGAAAGUGCCGCCCCCGCCCCAGUCUGGGACCUCCCACCUCCAGCCCAGGAGGAGCCCCGCCUUUCCAAACCACAGUCCUGCGGGAGGGACUGCCCCGGUAAACACGCACACGCACGUUCCAGUUUCCCUUAGAAAAAAGUCCCAGCACUUGGGUCGGUUUUAAUCGUUUACGUUUUCCUAGAAAAUUGUCCAUCUCGUUUACAAUUUCAAAUUCACAGGCACAGAGUUACAAUUCGCUUUACCUUAUAAUUUUCAACGCCUCUAAAUCUCAAGGUCCCCUUCUCAUCCCUGAGUUUGCUGCGCUCCCCGCCCCCCACUAUUUUUGGUGUUUAGAGGUGCCCUUACUUUGUUGUGGUUGAGUUAUAUGAUCUACGAUUUCCGUUCUGUGGCCUAUUCAAUGACUAAUUUAAAUGCAGAAACCAUUUUUCCUCACACUCAGUGAAAGAAAAAAAAAUGAGCAUUCUGUGUUUUUGCAUACAAACAUAAAAAUACACUGUGAAUUUUGCAGAAUUACCCUCCACAUCUUUACUAGUCUAUGUUGGUUAGGAGCAGAGUCUGAAGUCAGACUGCAUGGAUUUAUUCUUUUUUAAGAUUUUUUUUAUUUAUUUGAGAAACCGAGAGUGAGAGGGAGCACAAGCAGGGGGAGCAGCAAGGGAGCGGAGAAGCAGAGGACCCCGGGAUCACGGCCUGAGCCCAAGGCAGGCUCUGAACUGACUGAGCCCCCCUGGUGUCCCAGACUACGUGGAUUUGAAUCCCAGCUCAAGCACUUACCAGCCGUGGAUCACUGGUGAGUCACUAACUGGUCUGUGCCUCAGCUUCCCUCUCCAUAGAAUCAGUUAACACUAGUGUCUGCUGCAAGAGGCAGCUACAUUUACGCCGAGCCCCGUGUACCUGCAAGCUGUUCUCCCGCUCUGUUGUGUGUCAACCAGGAUCCACGUCAUGGGACCAGAGACGCGCGCAGCUGAGUUAACACAUGGGCAGUAUUUAGUGUGGUGUGCGGUGAGGACUAAACAUCAUACGUGUCUUCGCUCUGUCACCCAACCUGUCAAUAUUCACAGGAAACUGUUGAAGUGUUUCAGGACGCUUGGAUCCAUUUAUUCAAGAAAAACGUAUUGGGUUUGAGCUGUGUGACCAGAUCUGCGUUUUUCUGGCUGUGCGCUAGUCAGCUGUGAACAGGAAAGAUCAGUUCUCUGCUUUUGUGGAGGGACCUUCUCAAAAUCCGGACUUGUCAGCAUCUCUUGGGGGUAUGGCCAGUGUCCUGCUGUUCCACGACCCCGUUUCAUGCAGGAGAACACGAGGUAAACAUUCUGCACCCUCUUCCAAACCCUCCUUCUGGUGGAAUCUCAGUCGCGUCCCAGGAGUUGCACCCUAUGUGCCUGACCCACUUGAUCCAUAACGAUAAUUAUAAUUUUCAAAAAUAAUCAUCACUUCUAGUAGCGAUUAACAGCUUCGAAUCGCUGCUGUCGCCAGUACGUUCCUGCCAGAGGCAUCUAGGGACACACCUGCCAGUGGACAAGUUGGAUCUAUUACUUGUCUCGGCUGGGGAGGACCGCGGGAAACGCUGGGCCUCUCGCAAGCAGGUGUCAGAGAGAACGUGUUACAGAAUUAAGACGUCGGCCGGGAGUUUGGGGAGAGGGUUUGGUCCACUCUGAGCAGAGGAGAAUCACGCCAGAUGGUAUUCUGACACCACAAGGCCAGUUAUGAAGUGACCUCUGGUGCCCUGCUUCUCACUCACUCUGGUUUCAGGGAUAAUUGACGUAGAACGUAAUCGUUUCCGGCGUGCAACACAGCGAUUCGAUAUUCGUGCAUCCGCAUUGCAGAACACCUGCCAUGGUAAGUCUGGUUCACCCACCACUGUACAUGGCCACGGCUUGUUUUCCUGUGAUGACAACUUUGAAGAUGAGCGACUUCCAACAUCCAACAGAGAACCUGUUCUCAAUUGUAGUCCCCAUGUGAGACAUUACGUCUCCGUGACUUGUGUAUCUUAUCAGGGGACUUUGUACUGUGUGGUGCCCUUCCCCCAUUGUGCCCGCCUCUCCCUCCCGCCUCUGGUGGUCGGCAGUCUUGGUGCGUCUUCUCUCCUCAGCCCGGAGGGGAUGGUGUCUGUCUCCCACUCCUGAGCACUUUCCCUGCACAGAACAUAUUUCUAGUCAGUCACUGUCUGGAGGGAAGACAGACUCAGGGGUCACUACCGAACCUCUGAGCCCCUUCACAAGGGGCCGGGAGUCAUCGGCUGCAUGGUCUCUACACGGACUGGGAGGCCACGUUCAGGAACCACGGGGGGGCUCUCCCAGGAUGCAUAGCGAUCCAUCCCACGGUUGCCAGGCCUCUCGGGGUCAGCACUGUGGGGUUCGAUGUGUUCCAGACUAUGAUACAUUUUUAAUAACUUUUACUAGAUGGUUAUUACAAGCGUGUUACAGGUAUCGUCUAGGACAUAGAAGUGAGAUGUGACGUGCUCUUCCUGUCCUUCUGGUCCACUUUCUAAUGUUAAGCAACGGUUUCUUUCAUGGUUUUCCUGCACAUUUAAACCAGAGGUGCUUUUUGCUGAUGUCUGAAGGUGGGCCAUUGCUGAUGGUAGAUCAGAGACUCAAACCUUCCAGGACCAGCAGUGAAGCUUGUGGCGUUUCCCUGGAGUGUUCCAGAAGGCUGCCAUCCACUUGAGCCAUAAUAUCCACUCCCUAGACAGAUGACGAGGAAGGAGGAGAGCCAGACACAUCUGUCCCUUUCAUCGGGAGGGCAGGCCAGUCCCCACAGUGCAUCACACAGCCAGAGUCUGUGAGGAAGGGGACCUGUGUGGGGACUGCUGGAGAAUGAAAAGCCAGAUUGCUGCGAUUGGCUCAAGACUGAGAAGUGAUUCCUUCCCGUGGUCUGGUCCAGAGCACUCCCGUGAGCUGGAACUCCGUUAGCAAGAAAACAUGCAGGGAAUGAGCGAUGUGAGUGUCACAGCGCUUGUGAAUGAACACUUGGGAGAUGCAGAGGAGCAGAGAAAGAGGCCGUCGGUAACGUUUAUAAUCCAUCGGUGUAAUUUAUAGAACUAGAACUGAACCAUAGAGCACGCUGGAUUGGUCUUGCAAUGCCUUCCUUUUUUCUUAAAAAAAAAAAAAAAUCAGCCAUGAAUCUAUCGACUUAGAUAUUUUUUUGUUCUGUGAUUUAUUUCACACCUUUGCACCCGAUUCCUCAGCUUGAUUGUUGAUGGCGGCAAUAUAUUCUAGGGCAAGUGUGAGCCAGUUCUCUGUUGAAGAUGCAAAGAUUUCACACGGCCCCUCCCCACCGUAAAUCACACCGCAGCGAAGGUCCCUUAGUUAAUCUUCACAUUUCAGAAUUAUAUCCUUAGAGCAAAAUAUUUGAGGUUUUCAAGUAGAAGGUGGGCAAAAUCUUACCAUUUUAUACACAUUUCAAAUGUAUCCCCUGUGAAGGUUGAACCAGUUUUCAUUAUCCCUCGCUCGUAGUUAAGCCCGUCGUCAACCACAGGAGAUCUCAUCGUUAAAAAAAUGUGCCAGUGCCGGUAGUUAAAAAUGGAUUGGGUCAUUGUUUUCAUUUGUGUUUCUUCUAGUACCAGUCAGGUUGAGUCUUUUUUCGAAUGUUUAUUGCCUACUUUUCUGUAAAUUGCUCAUUUGUAUCUCCUAAAUUUUCUCUUGGUGUUGGUGAUUCACACUUGAGUAGGAAAGUAAAUUAAGGUUGUUCAUGAUCUCCCGAGAUGAUGGCUGCUACUCGUCAGUCAUGGGGGUCGCGCAUUCCUCUCUCCCUGUCUCUCCAUCUCUCUGUCUCUGUCUCUUUGUCUCUCUUUCUCUGUCUCUUUGUCUCUCUCUGUCUUUAUCUCUCAGUCUCUGUUUCUUUCUCUGUCUCUGUCUCUCUCUGCCUCUCUCUAUCUCUCUGUCUCUCUCUCUCUCGUGUCUCACAGCUACCUACUUACGUAUCUUGUGAUUAUUUCCCUUUGGAUAAAUUCCCAAAAGUCAGAUUUCUGAAUUCAUAGAUAAGAAAAAUGUUUAAGUUUUCAAUAAUAAUGGUCAAAUUGUUCCCUGAAAUGUGGUACUGAUGUAUCAAAUUCAUGAUACCCCCUCAUGAACCCUACAGUAAUGCUAUUUCUUUUUUAAAUAGUUGUCAGUUGGAGAGGCAAGCUUGUAGGUUUUCUCUGUGAUCAUACCCUCCUUGGGAAUUCCCAGGGUUGGCUCUCUGGGGCCUCUUUUCUCUUUUUUUCUUACUAAGACCUGAUCAGGGCUUUUCUUCCAUGGAUCUUUGACAUUUGUUAAUGGCAGCAUUUUUCUAUUUUUGGUUCGCCAUUCUACUCUCAUUCCUAUUAAAUACUUGCCCUUGUUUUCCUGUUUCUUUUGCUGUCUGUUCCUUAGCUUUGUGAGUUGAAUUCAUCAUUAGCUCUGUCUUACUCUUCUUUGCACACAAUGGAAUCCUUUUAAAGGAUAUAAAUUAUCCUCAGGGCACAACUUCAUCAGGCCUCCUCUCUUUUGUUAUGUCCAAACUGAAAAUAACUUUUGAAACAAAUGAUACUUUAAUAGUAUCAGAAAUUUUAAAGAAGACAGAAGAGUCAAAAAAAAAAAAAAAAAAACCCCCACAGAGAACCUCAUUUGGAAGUCCACAAUUCAGUUAACUAUUGUUAACAUUUUGGGGAAUGUGGCCCCAGAAAUUUGUCUUUUAUACAUAUAUAAAAAUUUUGUGUCAAUUUUGUCUACUGGACUUUUUACAAUGUACUGCAUAAUGAAAAUGUUUUUCUCUCUUUUUCUUAAAGAUUUUAUUCAUUUAUUUGACAGACAGAGACAUAGCUAGAGAGGGAACACAAGCAGGGGGAGAGGGAGAAGCAGGCUUCCGACUGAGCAGGGAGCCCGAUGCAGGGCUCGAUCCCAGGAUGCUGGGAUCAUGACCUGAGCCAAAGGCAGACUCUUAAGGACUGAGCCACCCAGGCGCCCUGAAAAUGGUUUUUUCUUAAUGAAUGUACCACGUAAUAGCUUUCAAUGAGUCCGUCUUAUAAAUAUAUUAUCGGGGCUCCUGGGUGGCUCCAAGUCUUGAUCUCGGCUCAAGCCAUGAUCUCAGCAUUGUGAGAUCGAGCCCUGUGUCUUGCUUCCUUCCCAGCGGGGAGUCUGCUUCUCUCUCCCUCUCCCUCUGCCCCCACCCCUCUCAAAUAAAUAAAAAUAAAAUUUUUAUUUAAAAAAAAAACAUUAUUACUUAUUUAACCAACCUACAGGUUGUGCACAUUAUACGUUAUUCCUAAUUUUUCACCAUGAUAACUAUCACACCUUAGUCCAUUUAGAGUAAAUACCUACAAAGAAAUUGCAGAGUGAAUAUAGGGAAAAUGUUAAACAUUUUAAUAAAUAUUUCUGGACAGUUUUCCAGAAAGAUUGUAAAAAUUGACACUCCCCCAACAGAGCACGGAACUAGCCAUUGUCUUUUACCCUCUUAAGUUCUGGAUAGCUUAUUUAAAAAAAACUUACCUUUCCCUUUCUCUGGUUACUAAGCGUGUUGAUUCACCUGUUGUGUCCAUCAGUUGUGUUGUGUGUGUCUGUGUGAGGGCCUGUGUGUGAGCUUGAUGAAGUCCCAGAACCUAAGUCAGGUUCGGUGGGGUGAGGUUCGGAGCCGACGACUAAAGAAAGAAUUCUUAAGACGUCGUUGGUGCAAAAUGGUGGUUUAUUAGAGCACGGGGACAGGACCCGUGGGCAGGAAGAGCUGCUGCCCCGGGUUGUGAGGGAUGGCAGGUUACGUACCCUGCGGUUGGGGGAAGGUGAGGGGAAGGGAGCUUUCAGUGGAGUUUUCAUAUGCUAAAGAGGGCCUACAAGGUGCCAGGAUGUUCCAGGCCUGCUGGAGGCCUUGCCCUUGUGAUCAAUGUUGUCUUUAGACCAGCCAUUAACAUUAAGAUAGUUGGGAGACUUUUUGGUGGGAUGUCACAAUCCUGCUAUCAAUCGUCUUUGUUAGUGAGAUUUAGGACAUUUGUAAGCCAAGGGAGACUCCUGUCUAGCAGGACUGUGAGCUCUGCAAGUUAACUAUUUGCUUAUUGUUCAUCGCAGUCAGGGCUGCCUGAGGGAUGCUACACAGACGGAGGGGAGCGGGUGAAGAGGGGGUGCAAGGCGCCAGCUUUUGCUUUGUCCUCAGCCAGCCUCCUGCUCCCUCAUCAAGCUGACUGGUGAUACCCUUUCCCAUUUCUCUAUCUGACUUGUCUUACGGAUUUUUGAAGCUUUCUCAUAUUUUAUGUCUCUGUUCUUAAUCUGUCGUACAUAUCACAAAUAUAUUCCACUGUUUUAUUUUCAUUUGAGUUUUAUUGUGUUAGCUCUGUCAUAAAUGAGGUUUUAAUUUUUAAAUUGUCUACAUCUAUCUUUAUUUUUUUUUUCAAUGUCUUGGCUUUAAGGCACCUGGCUUAGAACACUCAGACCUGAAGCUGAUGAAAACCCAGCCCUGGGGCACCGGUGGGGGGCUCAGUCGGUGAAGCGUCUGCCUCUGGCUGGGGUCAUGAUCCAGGGUCCUGGGGUUGAGGCCUGAGCCUGCUUCCCCCACUCCCUCUCCGCCUCCCCCUGCUUGUGCGUGCUCGCUCUCUGUCAAGUAAGUAAAUAAAAUCUUUAAACCCAGCCUUCUGCUGCGGCUUGUCGGGUUCGGUAAUUCGCAGUUAGACGCUGGCUCCUACGGUCUGUGGUCUGCGCCGUCAGCGAGGUGCGCAGUGAGGGGAGCCGUGUUCCCAGUGACGAACCAAUGACCCCAGCGAAAUUUUUGAAGAACCUCUCUUCUCCCCAUGGCUUUUGAACUGCAUUUUUAUCACUGGCUACGUUGCUGUAAAGACUUGACUUUAUCUGUGAACGUCGCUGACCCACCUUUCCCGCGACUUGGGUCCCCGCGUUCUGGUCACUACAAGCCUCUGUCACGGUUUGGGACGAAUGGCGUAGGUUCCUCCUUCAAGUACCUCCUCUCCCAAUCUCCCUGAAUUUUACUACAGAUUUGCCCUUUCAGAUUAACUUUGAAAUCUUAGAUUCAGAAGAUCACGGUUUUUUGUCAAAUAGUGUUUUUUUUCCUAAUCAUCACGACACGACCGAACUGUCUUCUAAUUGCUGAAAACAAACGUGAGUUCCAUGUUUCCAGGGAAAAAGCCCGUGUUCUUCUUAGACUCACUGCCGCACUCUGGUGUACAACCGCACUGCAGACCUCCACACAGAAGCCUAGAAGCCUCCAGGCUCUCUCUGUGCAGCGGGAUGGUGAGUGUCGCUGCAAAGGCUCUGUCUGCACUCUGCACACCUCAGCGGAAAUUUGGGACCAGACCUGAAGGCACUCUGGCCCUCUCAAAGCUUCUCUCUAACUGUGAGCUCCAAGGUAUUGUCACCUGCGCAGCAACUUGGGAAAAUAUUUUGGGAAACUGUAUCUCACACGCGGUGGUGCGCUGGUGAGGACCCUGGCUUUCCGCUGGGAGAUGGGGGCAUGUUUAUAACUACAUGCGGGGGUAGCUAUAGACAGCCACCUAUGAGCACACACGUGCAGAAGUUCAUUCUAACCUGAUUAAUAGAAACGACGUGGGCUGCGCUAUCUACAAAGAAUAAGAAAUCAUACAGUGUUCUCCUGCGAAUCCCAGACAGCCGGCUGGUCUUCGCAGAACGGUCUCGUUGAUUUUUCGCGAACUCUUAUCUCCCCAUUCAGCCUGUGGACACGAGUCACCCACAGCUUCACGAAGGAGCUGCGUCGCAGCCCGAGUCCUUCCCCCCAGAAUGUUCCGUCGUCCCGUACCACCCGUGAUCCCCUGCCCAGCUGGUUCUCACCCCGUACAAACUGAUGAAGUUCCAGAACCUAAGUCAGGUUCGGUGGGGUGAGGUUCGGAGCUGACGACUAAAGAAAGAAUUCUUAAGACAUCUUUGGUGCAAAAUGGUGGUUUAUUAAAGCACGGGGACAGGACCCGUGGGCAGGAAGAGCUG